AAAGGAGAGAGAGAGAGAGGAGAGAGAAAACCUCCUAACAAGAAGAGAGAAUCGAUUCUCUCUUUCUCUUUCUCUUUUUCUUCUUCUUCUGGUUCUUCUACUCCUUCUCUCUCUUCUUCUUCUCUUUUGUAUUCCCAUUCAUGUGAAAAGGA
rnacentral:tRNA from 13 species